rnacentral:rRNA from 1 species
AGUGAACGCUGGCGGUAGGCCUAACACAUGCAAGUCGAACGGCAGCACAGUAAGAUCUUGCUCUUACGGGUGGCGAGUGGCGGACGGGUGAGGAAUACAUCGGAAUCUACUUUUUCGUGGGGGAUAACGUAGGUAAACUUACGCUAAUACCUCAUACGACCUACGGGUUAAAGCAGGGGAUCUUCUGACCUUGCGCGAUUGAAUUAGCCGAUGUCGGAUUAGCUAGUUGGCGGGGUAAAGGCCCACCAAGGCGACGAUCCGUAGCUGGUCUGAGAGGAUGAUCAGCCACACUGGAACUGAGACACGGUCCAGACUCCUACGGGAGGCAGCAGUGGGGAAUAUUGGGCAAUGGGCGCAAGCCUGAUCCAGCAAUACCGCGUGAGUGAAGAAGGCCUUCGGGUUGUAAAGCCCUUUUGUUGGGAAAGAAAAGAAGCAGGUUAAUACCCCGCUGUUCUGACGGUACCCAAAGAAUAAGCACCGGCUAACUUCGUG